GACAGAGGGUGCAAACGUUGUUCGGAAUUACUGGGCGUAAAGCGCACGUAGGCGGAUAUUUAAGUCAGGGGUGAAACCCCAGAGCUCAACUCUGGAACUGCCUUUGAUACUGGGUAUCUUGAGUAUGGAAGAGGUGAGUGGAAUUCCGAGUGUAGAGGUGAAAUUCGUAGAUAUUCGGAGGAACACCAGUGGCGAAGGCGGCUCACUGGUCCAUUACUGACGCUGAGGUGCGAAAGCGUGGGGAGCAAACAGG
rnacentral:rRNA from 1 species